rnacentral:rRNA from 1 species
GAUGAACGCUGGCGGCGUGCCUAAUACAUGCAAGUCGAGCGAACGGACGAGAAGCUUGCUUCUCUGAUGUUAGCGGCGGACGGGUGAGUAACACGUGGAUAACCUACCUAUAAGACUGGGAUAACUUCGGGAAACCGUAGCUAAUACCGGAUAAUAUUUUGAACCGCAUGGUUCAAAAGUGAAAGACGGUCUUGCUGUCACUUAUAGAUGGAUCCGCGCUGCAUUAGCUAGUUGGUAAGGUAACGGCUUACCAAGGCAACGAUGCAUAGCCGACCUGAGAGGGUGAUCGGCCACACUGGAACUGAGACACGGUCCAGACUCCUACGGGAGGCAGCAGUAGGGAAUCUUCCGCAAUGGGCGAAAGCCUGACGGAGCAACGCCGCGUGAGUGAUGAAGGUCUUCGGAUCGUAAAACUCUGUUAUUAGGUAAGAACAUAUGUAUAAGUAACUGUGCACAUCUUGACGGUACCUAAUCAGAAAGCCACGGCUAACUACGUG